UUCCUGCUGGGAACAGACCACUCGUCCCUGCCAUAGCAGCUGGGAUUCUGGAGGCUAGAGGGGCAGGUGGCAUGCUGGCUGGAGGUGCUAGGGGCGUUUACCUUUUCCGUGGAAGGCUGCCCAGGGAGGAGCCAUGUCAGUGCUCGCAUUAUUGUCCCGUUAUCUGGGAUUGGAGUGUGGAAGCGCAGAGGGCGGAAUGGCCAUCCUGCUGUCCACUGAAGAAACGUUUGGCCAAUGUUUGGCAAUGACAUGGACAGCCUACCCGCCGUCAAAGAAGCAACAACCAAGUUUUACAAAUUGGUUUAAGGAUAAUAAAGUCAAGGUUCGCCUGCCAUCUGGAAGUGUAUGACAUCAUUAUGAAAAUGAAAGUAGGCUUCUUACACCUUGAUGUCUUCCAGGACCUUAUUGUACUGUAUGACAAUUGACAGAUCCUGUGUACGUACACAGAAGAUUGAAAAUUAUUAUGAGGCUCGGCGAAUAGACACUUUAGGGAUGUAAGGUAACUAUGCCAAUUAAAGUCAUUACUGCAAAGAGGGUGAUUGACUAGGAAUGUCUAUCAUUACCCAAUAUCACUCUCCUCCUUUUUGAUUGUUCCACUGUAUGACAAUCUUCAGCAGAGAUUACUUUAUAUGUGGGUUCAAUAUAAUUAUACUAGACUGUAAACGUAAGAACCUAAUUACUUCUCUAUGCUGGGGGACAGGAUUUUCGAUAUUGAGAUUGUUGUGUCUGUUUUGGGGUUAGCGCAGGAAGGUGUGGUUAAAAUUCUCGCCAAUAUUUAUUCUUGUCUAUUCAAAUGGUGUGUUUGGAUGAAAAUGUGCCUUCGGUCAAAUAACACAUAAGAAACACAAUAUUACCACAACAACACCGUGACAAAAUAGCUUUUUUUUGCAAUAAAGUUAGGUAAUAGACAAAAAAGGAGAAACAAGCUGCUUGUGUGGCAAAUAAAUAAAUAAUGGUGCCUUUGAGUGUCAGAGGUAGUGGCAAAGUGCGAUUUAAGAGUAUAGUUUAACGAUGGCAUUCAGAUUGGGAUGGAAAUGAGGGUACUUCUCUCCAUACUGAAUAUCCGUGGCAUGAAAUGAAUCUGUUUGUUAAAAAAAAGGUGGGUUGUGCGGCAGAGUUUUUGCUAAUCCACUAACCACUAAUUAGCGAAGCUAGGUUUUCUAGCGGAUUAGCAUUUACACUAACCUGGAAAGCUAUGACCGGUUAGCUUUUUCUAAAUGUAGUUCCGCUAAAUCCACCAACAUUUUUUUCACAGGUAGAGUCAAAAACAUUUGUAAACCCUAACAUCCUGCAUAUUUAUUCGUGUCUGUUGUGAGCAAGACCGAAAAAGUCUGUUGGCUGAUCACACGUAAACACAAGACAUGAUUGCUCAAUGCAACAGCAGCUAAGCGGCACAGUGUACCCGUGCAGUUCAGCUGGUUUACAGCGUGACAGUCUUAAAGGCUGAUUUAUACUUCUGUGCUGAAUCAACAUCAUAGGUACGUCAUAACCACCUAUGCUGCACUGUAGCCUAUGCCACAACCUGACCUGCACCUUCCCAGAAAUGUAACUACCCAUCGCGGCUACUCAGACCAUAACAACUGUGAUCGGUCCUGCGUUCUUCGAAGGUCGACCAAAAGGGGUCGUCAAAUGAGAUGAUCUGGUCUAUGGAUAAUUUCCUAUUUGCAUCAGCAGCUCUUCCCACCCUUACAAUUGAGUGUAUCCUAUUGCUUUGCCGGAACAUGCCCAUUUUACCUUUGCCCAGUGAAUGCUGGGAUAUGCUGAGCUGUGAAGGAUCCGUCAGGUGGAUCCUUUGUGACUUGGCAAGAUGCGGACACAUUUGUAGACCAAAUUUGAAGGAAUCUUUGAAAUGGUAUUCAAUGGUACACAAGUACAGUCAAGUACACAUAUUGAUAAACACUUCUGGUAUACACCUGCAGCCAUGUGCACCAAAACAUUUCACAAAAUUUGCAUCACUUCUCCACGUGCACGACUGAAAGCGCGGUUUACUGAGUCUACAAGUUUGCAUUAAAUAAACUGUAUGUUGAUUGUUGACUAAUGUUUAAUUUCAUUGUUGUGUAAACCUUGAUCAUCAUUUGAUGUUGGCAUGCUCCACCGGGUUGGAAAGCUCUGUGUCUAAGCUGCAACAUAGUAGAAUUUCAGAGCCAAAAACCAUGCCAUUAUCGUUAGCUUCCACUAAUUUAUUUAUUUAUUUGCAGUUUAUCAGUUUAGUGUUAUCAAAUUAAACUUUGCAGUUGGUGCAUUAGCAGUUAAGAUAAGGUUUUGUUUAGCUGUGACCACCACUGGUUAUGAGAAGCAGACACCAACUGAUACUGAAGCU